AAGAAGAAGAAGAAGAUAUGUAAACAGUACUUAUUAACACUGAGUACCGAACAGUUUACCCUCCAGUCCAGCAGGUGGCGGUAAGGCGCCAUUAAUCGGUUUACCCGCCGCCAUUUUGGCUCAUAAAGAAGCGAGCGUUGCUCUGCGCUCACUUGACGCUGCGGAGGAGUCCAGGCAGCAGGAGGAUCCACACUCUCCUGACUUUCACGGUAAAUACACCUUAAAACGACUCUUUACACAUCAAAUGGAAGCUUGUACGUGUUGAGAACAGUGUGUAGAAGGUAAAGAUGGCGACCCUCGGCACAGAUGGGUUUAAAAGUGUUUCGUCCUUGGCGCCCGUUUGGUCUUGAUGAUGCCGGCGUCACCUCGGAGCUGUUGCCCACGUGUUCGAGAAGGGGGAUGAUGACCUUCAGGGACACUCUGGAAGAUGCCACGCAGAAAUGAAUCCGCUCCACUGGACCCUCGGUACCGGGUGGACGUCUUGUUGAAGCAACGGUGCUGCAUCCAUCAAAGCGAUCAAGAGUGAUGGCGAUCCAAGCCUGUGAAGCUGGUUGACGGUCUUGGUGGUGGGAUUUACCAUCAAGAGUGGCGGCAAUCAAAGCCUGUGACGCUGGAUGAACGUGUUGGUGAUGACAGUUCAGCAUCCAUCCAAGUUCUUGUCGGAGUGACUGCAGUCAAAGGCCGUGAAGCUGGGUCAGCAUCCUGCUGGCGGCGCUGUUGUCCAUCACAUUAAUGGCAAUCGAAGCCUGUGAAGCUGGGUGGAAGUCUCUGCCAGAGAUGCUUCAUGAUGAUCUCCAGUGUCACGUGGUGCUGCUUCUUGUCUGGAAGAACAUGAGCAUGAGGCAGCCUCCAUUUCUCCUCAGUCGAUUCAAGAGGAUUUUCCACAAUCUUUUCAUCAGAUUGUGUAUGCAGAGUUGAAACUGUUGCUAACCUGUUGCAUCAAACCACAAUGAAAUAAAAGGAUGAGUGUGAAUAUU